GGCCGGGUUCCAAAGCAUGGUAACGGGCCCGCCCUGCAAGCGGGUUUUCGCCCGUUCAAAUCGGGCCCCGGCCA
rnacentral:tRNA from 1 species